rnacentral:lncRNA from 1 species
CCCUGCGUAUUUGGGGGUGGCACAGCUGACAGUGGUUCCCGUCUUCCCCCCAACCCCACCCCCCUACUCCCCUCUCCUGGGCGUGGAUGGCUUUGGGAAGCGUCCACUCCAAGCGGCUCCAGCAACACUGAAUGGAUGUGUAGUAUGGUUAGCAGCUGGAGACGGAGCAAACGAUGCAAUGAAAAGAAGUCACAUUCACGGCGUAUUUGCUGGCAGGCACUGUGCGAAAUGCCUUGUAUGCAGCCUCUGUGAUUCUCUUCACGACUCGGUGAGGCUUCAUCGGGAGCUCCACCUGGGUAGAGCGGCAGGAUCAGAUUAA